rnacentral:misc_RNA from 1 species
AAAAAAGUUGGCAUUGCUCCAUAAGCAAAAUUAGUCACAUCUAAUCAGACGUAUCAGUCUUGGUAUUAACCAGAAAUGAUAAAAAUGAAAAAGAUAAGAUGAGACUCCACAAAGCACAAUACAAAAUUUAACUAACUACUUUUAAGGAUGACGACUUCUCAUCAUUGAAAACAUUGAUGUAGCACACUACAGCACCACCCAUAGCAACCAACGAUUCCAAUCAAGAUCCUCGACAUCUAAAUGCCCACUUAAAUGUUGCUUGGGUACAUGAAAACCCUAACCUUGGCUCCCAUUGAUUUAGGAGGCAAAUUGGACUUGAACUUAGCUCUAACAACGCCACUGUUUCCAUGUGGCCUGCAAACUUUGCCCCAAAUGCAACGAUAGUGCGAGUUAUUCUUCUUUGUCUUUGCCUUGUAGAUGUAUCCCAGCCUCUUCCCAAGGUACCAGUCCACUUCUUCCUUAGUGUUCACUCCCUCGAUCUGAAUCAACGAAGUGUUGGGAUACUGGUUCGAUUUCGACCUUUUGUAUCCAAGAACAGUCCCUCUAACGUAGAGCCUAAUGCGUUCUCCUUGGCGUCCCUUCACCAUU